CAUGGCUUUGGCCCUUGGAGAGCUCCAGGCCAUCAGAGAUGGUGCAGGAAUGGGGUAGGAGACAGAGGAAGCCCUGCAGGAAGCCAGCAAAAACCUCACCUACCUUGAGAACUCAGCAAUGCCGGAAGAGAUUGAGAUUCCUAGAGAAUGGAGGAGCCGGGAACAAAGGAGAAGGAUGGGAUCCAGGAACAGGCCAAGAGAACCAGCUCGAUGCUUCUUCCUCUCCCUUCUAGAAAAUUCUGUUCAGAAGCCAUUAGGCUUCAGGCUCGAGACAGAGAGGAACCGCCUCUGUGUUUUUCACUGUCGUGUCUCAGUGCUGGGAGUGUACUCCAUGUGGUCAGUGUGUGAUCAAUUUAACUGUGCCUGAGGGUUCUGAGAAGACCUCACAAAUGAAGGCAACUCCUGUGCAUCUGUAGGUACCAUUGUGAGGUUACUGCCCUGGACUGGGGAGAGAUCCACACACGCAAGAGUGCAUCUGGCAUCAGUAUGUAAGAGUCAAAACUGACACACAGUUCUUCAUCUCAUGGAAAUGAAAACAUGCAUGGCCGGAAUGAUCUUAUACCUGCUUCUCUUGGGCCAGGUCACCAGGCUGGCCCUGAGAAGUAUGUGAUGGCAUGGAGAAGAAUCCUCACACAUCCUUGCAGUUCUCUAGGAUUUGCAAGGCAUUCCCCCCAUUGCUGGACUCACUGGAUUUGAGUAGGCCUGUCUGCCCCUAUUUUAGAGAUGAGCAUAUACACCUUACAAAAACUGAGUCUUGCUCAAUGUCUGGCAAAGAAGUCUUCCUUUAUCCAACAAUCCUGAGAGUCUAGCGGGUGUUGGGCACCAUAAAGAUGAAUGAGGUGCGGUUCUUGCCACCAGGCAGUGCCCGGGCUUGUCAGGGAGACCCAUGUGGAGCAUGACAAUUGCUACCUUCUUGAUACGGGCAAAAGGAUGUUGAGUCCAGUGGAAGGAGAGGCUUGUCUGGCUGUGAGAUCAGCAAAGUCUUCACAGAAAAGGAGAAUUUUAAAUGGGGCCUUGAAGGGGAAGUGUCUCCUGGAGAUGGAGAGAACAUAGCGAGGAGAGUGCGGUGAGGUGGGGGGUGGCAGGGGAAGCACAUCACUACGCGGUGCUUAGGGCCGAGUCUGAGCCAACCUGGGAGUGGCACUCAGCUCCCCCAGGCCCCCGAGAUGCAUGUUCAGCAGCAUCCAGCGGCCUCCUGUGAAGCGACUGGGAGUCCACAGAGACAACAAAAGCAGAUGUAGUGAUGUGUAAACUUGAAGUUUCUAGAAGUUCCUUUGGGCCCCACCAAAUCUCUGUGGCAAUGAACCAAUCCCACAUGUUCCUGUGGGUAAUGCUCCCAGAGGGCAUGUGACUUUGGGCAUCAUUAUUGGCUGAAAAAGGAAACUGGGGUAGUAGUUAGAGAGUGCUAUGAACUGAAUGUUGUGUGCCUCCCAAAUCUGUACACUGAACUCCAAAUCCCACUGUGGUGGUAUUAGGUGAGGGGGCCUUGGGAGGUCAUUAGGUCCUGAGGGUAAAUCCCUCAUGAAUGGGAUGAGUGCCCUCACACAUGAGACCCCAGAGAGCUCUCUGGCGGUCUUUCUACCAUGUAUGGCUGCAAUGAGAGGUCUGCAGCCUGCACCUGGAAGGAGGCCCUCAAUGAACCUGACCAGACUAGCAUCCUGUUCUCAGACUUCUGGCCUCCCAAACUGUGAGAAACAAGUUUCUGUUGUGUAUAAACCAUCCAAUCUAUGAUAGUUUGUUAUAGUAGCCAAACCGACUAGGACAGAGAGGAUGUAAGGAGCCAGUGGAGGACUCUUUUAAUGGAGAGACUACAGCAUGUCUCAGGCUGAAUGGUCCAGUAGGGAGAGCAAAAACAGUGCCCAUGCAUCACCCUGAGGUCUCACCCAACCCUGCUGGAACUGACUUUAGUGCCCUCUUCCAGUGUUCCCCGCAUGACCUGGUGGGUGCACACCUGGCUGCUUGCAUUCACACCGUCCCUCUCCACUUCUUCCUUCUCCCCAGCUCUCUUCCUGUCAACCCUGGCAUUGCCUUUGUUGGCUACUGAGAGAAGACCAGAAAUAUCCAUCUAGUCAGACUUGCCUGCUCCUGGGAAGAAAACAAAAAUGCAAAGAAAAGGUUCUCAGGGAGAUUGAGCCAACCUGGGAGUGGCCCUCAGCUCCUCCAGUCCCCAGAGACCCAUGCUCUGCAGCAUCCAAGGGGCUCCUGUGAAACUGUUGGGAGGCCAAUGACACUCUGUCCCACGUUGUGGAUCUAUUUUGUGGUCUCUGUAUCCUUCACUGCUUUUUGUGGACAUUAUUGUAUUAGAUUCCUUUGGAAAUGAUGAUCCAGCUAAUGGCCAGUUAGUAGGAAACAUCACGACCCUCCCCCCAAAUUCCAGCCUCUUGCUGAAAGGGUGGGGCCUGGGAAAUCAUAUGGUAUUGCUCCUGGUCACCACAGACCAGUGGUGGCUUUGGGCCAAAUUCUGGCCCAGCCAAUCCCCCCCACCUUUUUUUUUUUUUGAGAGAGAGAAUUUGAGGUAAGAGACACAGAGACUCAGGUUAGGAGGAUGCUUGAACUGAAAGGUCCUGAGACAGCAGGACAGGAGCUAGUACCAUGCAGAACACAGCAGGAGCCACAGGCAAGCCUGAACUGUGGGAGAGAGAAAACGAAGGGCCUUCCAGAGAGGUCCAGUCUGCCAAGAGGAGAAGAGAGUUGACACGCAGAAAGAGUUAGGGGUGACAAGAACCCCCGUAGCCCCUUGAAGGACACAGAGAGGAGAUCUUUUUUGUUCUUUUGUGAUUCAUCCUUUCUCACUUCCUGUCCUUGGAGGUCAACAACAGACCCCUGUAUCCUUUUAAUAAUCCCUCUUUUCAUUUGAAAUUGUUCCAGAGGGUACCUGAUCCUUGUUGCCAGCAUGCCCUGAAUAAGAAAAAUGCUCAAACCAAACACUGAGUCUACUGAGUCUAUGUGAAUUAAUUCUUGGAAUUCCUUGGCUCAAUUCAAUAAACAUUUCAUGCACAAUUUUUGUGUGCCAGGUGCUAGAGGCAUUCUGAGAAAAACUGAGACCCAGGAGCUGUCCUCAGAGAGUCCAGUAAGAUGUGGUCUGAUAAGACAUGUUUC
rnacentral:lncRNA from 1 species